GACGAACGCUGGCGGCGUGCUUAACACAUGCAAGUCGAACGAUGAAGCCUAGCUUGCUAGGUGGAUUAGUGGCGAACGGGUGAGUAAUACGUGAGUAACCUACCUUUAACUCUGGGAUAAGCCCGGGAAACUGGGUCUAAUACCGGAUACGACCAAUCUCCGCAUGGGGUGUUGGUGGAAAGCGUUAUGUAGUGGUUAUAGAUGGGCUCACGGCCUAUCAGCUUGUUGGUGAGGUAACGGCUCACCAAGGCGACGACGGGUAGCCGGCCUGGGAGGGUGACCGGCACACUGGGACUGAGACACGGCCCAGACUCCUACGGGAGGCAGCAGUGGGGAAUAUUGCACAAUGGGCGCAAGCCUGAUGCAGCGACGCCGCGUGAGGGAUGACGGCCUUCAGGUUGUAAACCUCUGUUAGCAGGGAAGAAGAGAGAUUGACGGUACCUGCAGAGAAAGCGCCGGCUAACUACGUG
rnacentral:rRNA from 1 species